rnacentral:lncRNA from 1 species
UAUACGACGGGCUCCUCAGGGCGGGACCCCGCGUUUAAGUUUGGUGUCUGUGGUUCCUGCGUCCUGGAUUUCGGCGCAGUUGCCUCACAGGAGCCAGAACGCGCUUCCUGCGGGCGAGGGCCAGGGCACACCGCCCCCUGGCGGGAGCCCACUCACCUCACUCCAGCAGGACCCGGAGCCGGCUUGAUCCCACUCGAGCCGAGCACCCUCCCAAAUGGUUCCCACUGGCCCCUAAAUCUGGACGUGCCCGAGCCUCCCACCCACCCAGCACCCCACGGAGUCUCCGAUUCCCCAGACCGCACACACCUAAGGAAUAACAGCGGUCCUGGAGGAACGCGUGGCGCCUCCGCCCCGCCCCGCUGCCAGGGACCCCAAAGGCAGCCCGCCCUCCGUGCCGCUGCCGGGCCCCACAGCCCUCCCAGCCCUGAUCGCCGCUCCCAGUCCCUGGUCCCUCCCUGUCCUACCGGGUGGCGUGGCGCGCAGCCCCUUUCCAGGCGCAGCCCUGGCCGAAACCCCGAACCUUGCAACCACACCUGCCACCCCACGCCGUUCUCCAGAAGCCCCCACUCCCCCACCCGGAGCGUUGGGAGCCCACUGGCUCUGCACCUGUCCUGGGCGCAGCCCCCGGCCCUCGGUGGACUCCUGGCAGGCACGGGGCGAGACCGUCCCCGGCCCCCCCAGCUCCGGCGUGCUAGUUUGAGUGGAACUUGGUUGCUGGGCUUCCCGGGACCGUCCUGGGAUUCCUACUCCACCCCACUCCCUGGCCGCGUCCAGCAGCACCCCCGGGGCGGCGCGCGGGGGUCCCCAGGUCCCCGGGGGCGCGGCGGCGGCGUGCGGAGAGCACGGAGGUGCGGGGCCCCAUACCUUCCAGCUGCGGCGGCCGGACCCCGCGCCAACUCCCGCCAGCGGCCGGGGGGAAACUUUCCUGGUCGGAGGGGCGCGCUCGCAACUUGCCAGGCGCCGGCUGCCUUCCCGGCGGUGGCGGCGCGUACGGGGAACCGCGGCGCGAGGCUGCGGCGCUCGCUCGGGGCUCCGGGCGGGGACCGGGACCGGAGCCGGGGCUGGGGCUCGGGCGGCCUCGCGCGGCUCCGCGGUGGAUCGCUCGGCGCUACGUCCGCCCCGCAGCCUGGAGCCCCGCGACGCCGGCGGCAGCUGCACGCCCGCCAGCCCGCCGGCCCCACCUCCGCCGCCGUCCGUCCCUCCCCUCCCCCGCGCUCCCUCCCCCUCCCCAAACCUCCGCCCCUCGCGUCUCCAGCCGCCGCUGCUGCCGAGAAGCGAGUCUCCUCCGCGGGCUGCCCCUCGCCUCCCGCCAGCUUCAGCCUCCGCCUCCAGCCCCGCGUCCAGGCCUUGUCUGGGGGUCCCUGGGCCCACCCUCUGCCCAUCUCCCCUUCCUCUGCCUCCGACCACCUCCCACUCUGCUCGCGGGCCCUCGCUGCGUCUGAAUUUGGAAUACCGUUGCGGGAGUGA